GAAAAUAUUGUAUGACCCCUCUCUUUUUAUUAGUUUUUUUUUUAAUUUUCUUUGGGUUUUGUUCGUACUUUUUUCCCUUUUUCUUUUGGAAAUAAUAAAUGUGCGAUGACGACUCUUGCUUUAUGUGUUAAGUUAUUCAAUAACUUAAACUCAAAAUUUUUACCGCUACACUAGUGACUGACGAUGCUUGAUAGCAAUCAGACUGUUAUGCC
rnacentral:lncRNA from 1 species